AGACGCCAUGGUGGGACAGUAGUGGCUGUGUUCUACCCUUCUGCUGCUGACUCUCAGAAUCGAGGGACUGUCUUGUAGCUGUUCGGGAGCCCAGUGUUCUUACCCCGCCAACUGUCGCUUUGGUAUCGAGAAGGACGCUUGUCACUGUUGUCUGGUCUGUAAGAAGGCCCCGGGGGAGGUGUGUGGGGGACCGUUCGACGUCGAUGGUCACUGUGGUGAUGGUCUGGUCUGCUUCAAGGACGCCGACGUGAAUGAUCCCAUAUAUACUCAGCUUGGCGGGAUCUGCAGGUGGUGGCACUGGGGAUAUGACUUUUAUCUCACAGGACCGUCUCGCCAGUCCGUGUGACCAAGAGACCAGAUCUUUGUGUUGGUGUAGCGUAGCGUGUGAAGCCUGUCCCGGAAACCUCUUAACUAUGGACCACAACCCGCAGCAACUGUACUCAGGGUCUAAGUGAAGCCUAAACAAAGUAACACAUUGAUGAACGGAGGGAAAAAAUUAUAUAUUGUAGAUACAGUGAGUUAUGUCUUAUUGUAAGUGUUUAUAUUCAAAUAAAAUGGCUACGCCUUUACAAACCUA